AUAAUUACAUGGCAGCGGAAAUACCACAAUCAAAAAGGGUGGCUUUCCCAGGAUGAAGCUCUUCCACUGUAAUCUUCUGUUGGGUAGACUACUCUGAUUUCCCCAAAUGUGGGAAACUCAACUGCAUAAAUUAUGUUAGUAAUGGACUGCCAUCGCACAGCCGUCU